AUGUGCUGCCUCACACGCCCGGCACACCCCCGUGCCUGGUCCCCCUCGCACACCCACACAGCUCCCCCACGCCAGCCCAGGGGCACAUGGCACCGCGCCCCCCCCUCCCCCUACCCAGUGCUGCCGCUCCCCAGUGUCCCCUGCACGGAGGGGCACAUUCCCAGCUAUGGGGUGACCCACCCCCGGACCCCCAGCCCAGCUCUCUGCACCUGCCGCAGUGUGGGAAAGGGCCGGGGGUGGGUGCGAGACCCCCCACCCUGGCAUCCCUGGGGCUGGGUGCCCCCGCGGGCAGGGCGGGCAGGUCGGGGUGGCUGCCAGACCCCCCCUCUGCCGCCUGCCAGGCCGCAACGGGCCCCGGCGUGCCGGGGUAGGUGCCGGGGCAGGUUCCGGGGCAGGUUCUGGGGCAGGGCAGGGCAGGGCAAGAUGUGGCGCUUGCCUGGGGCUGAUCCUCCUGCCCCGCACCCGCGGGAUGCUGAGCACCCAUCCUGCCCAUGCCCACUGCCCCCAGCCCCACCUUGCACCCUCUGGACACGUCAGCGGGUGAAAACAACAGUGGGACAGACCCUGUGUCCUCCUAGUCCCGUUCUCCCGAGUCCAUCCCCCUGCAAACCCACGGCCCUGCGGCAACCCCGGGGUGGGAUGGCGGCAGCGGCCGGGGGGACACAGCAGGUGACCCCUUGGCCUUUGCUGGGCCGCACUGCCCGGGGGGUUCGGGGAGGGAUGGAGGAACGAGGGUCCCGGCAGCUCCCGCUUUGUUCCCGCUUCGCCUCCACCCGGCAGUUGCCUGGCAACUCCAUCAAUGCGGCUGCCAGAGAGCGGCAAAACACGUCCCCACAUCCCCACAUCCCUAUCCGCGGCUGCACCGAGCCCUGUCGGGAUGGCACAGCAUGGCAUGGCCCGGCACAUCCCUCCUCUGUUCCUCCAGCCUCCAGCGUUCAGAUCCCCCACAUCACAUCCAACAUCCCCAAAAAAUCCCGCUCUGUUGAGCUCCUCCAUCCCCUUUCCCCACAGCAUCCGGGCAAGGGUUCCCGAACCUGGGUGCAGGUGGUGCUGCUGGCCAGGUUCAGCCACGCAGAGAGGGACUUCUCCUGA
rnacentral:lncRNA from 13 species